rnacentral:rRNA from 1 species
CCUACGGGGGACAGCAGUGGGGGAUAUUGCACAAUGGGGGGAACCCUGAUGCAGCGACGCCGCGUGGGUGAAGGAGUGCUUCGGCAUGUAAAGCCCUAUCGGCAGGGAAGAAGCAAGACGGUACCUGACUAAGAAGCCCCGGCUAACUACGUGCCAGCAGCCGCGGUAAUACGUAGGAGGCGAGCGUUAUCCGGAUUCACUGGGUGUAAAGGGAGCGUAGACGGCCAUGCAAGCCAGGGGUGAAAGCCCGGGGCCCAACCCCGGGACUGCCCUUGGAACUGUGCGGCUAGAGUGCGGGAGGGGCAGGCGGAAUUCCUGGUGUAGCGGUGAAAUGCGUAGAUAUCAGGAGGAACACCGGCGGCGAAGGCGGCCUGCUGGACCGCGACUGACGUUGAGGCUCGAAAGCGUGGGGAGCGAACAGGAUUAGAUACCCCUGUAGUC